rnacentral:lncRNA from 1 species
CAUUCUUCAUGUUCUGUAUGUUUAACUACUCUCAACUUUCUAUAUUGAGAAGAUUUUGGUCUGGUUCUAUCUGUCUUUUCCCUGGUUUUUUCUAUUAUGUAAGAAAUUUAUUUGUUUGUGUUACCUUGCAGAUUCCCAUAUUUUUUACCUUGUCUAAUGAUAUCAGUCUUUGCAUUAGCUGCAACAGUAAUGUCCUUUUGGCUUCCGGUAUGGCCUCUAGUCUUAUAUAUACUUAUCUUGUCAUUUUAAGUGCUAUCUAGGCUUUCCUCCAUAAGUAGUUUUCUCAUUCCCAUUUCAGUCGCUUAACUCGUGAUAAUAUUACAUAGCUAAGAACAUAGUGC